rnacentral:tRNA from 1 species
GGGGAUUUAGCUCAGUGGUAGAGCGCUUGCCUAGCAAGUGCAAGGCCCUGGGUUCGGUCCCCAGCUCCCCA